rnacentral:misc_RNA from 1 species
GAUGAAGAACGUAGUGAAAUGCGAAAAGUAAUGUGAAUUGCAGAAUUCAGUGAAUCAUCGAAUCUUUGAACGCACAUUGCGCCCCCUGGUAUUCCGGGGGGCAUGCCUGUCCGAGCGUCAUUGCUGCCCUCAAGCACGGCUUGUGUGUUGGGCCUCCGUCCUCCUCCCGGGGGACGGGCCCGAAAGGCAGCGGCGGCACCGCGUCCGGUCCUCGAGCGUAUGGGGCUUCGUCACCCGCUCUUGUAGGCCCGGCCGGCGCUUGCCGACACAUCAAUCUUUUUUCCAGGUUGACCUCGGAUCAGGUAGGGAUACCCGCUGAACUUAAGCAUAUCAAUAAGCGGAGGA